rnacentral:rRNA from 1 species
GACGUAGGGCGCGAGCGUUGUCCGGAUUUAUUGGGCGUAAAGAGCUCGUAGGCGGCUCGGUGCGUCAACCGUGAAAACCCGGGGCUUAACUUCGGGCUUGCGGUUGAUACGGGCGGGCUGGAGUUCGGUAGGGGAGACUGGAAUUCCUGGUGUAGCGGUGAGAUGCGCAGAUAUCAGGAGGAACACCGGUGGCGAAGGCGGGUCUCUGGGCCGAUACUGACGCUGAGGAGCGAAAGCGUGGGGAGCGAACAGG